CGUUGGGGAGAAAAACAACAACACUCUCUCUUCAUGUUCUCAGUGGGGUGUUUACUGUGCAGAGAAUGCAGACCAUGUGCCCAGUCCGUUCCUUGCAGGGAACAGCAUCAGCUUGCAAUGGAAUUAAUGUGAAGGAAGGGGGAAGCAGGAGUAGUAUCUUGCCAGCUUCCUUAAGUUUUCCAGAAAACUGCAUGAGUAUCUCAAUUGCAUCAUAGCUAAAGCAGGUCAGUCAUAACUUUGUAGUCCUACAAUCAACAGACCCAGAGAAAGAAAAAACCUGCCCUGUCUUUUGCUCUUUAGGAAGAAUCAGAACUCAAUUGGAGCAUUCAUUUUGUAUGCAGGCAGUUUCAAUCCCCAACAUCUACUGAUAGGGCUGGGAGAGGACCCCACCUGAAACUCAUGCUACUUAUGCUCACUAUCGACAAUACAGAACAAGAUGGACUAAUGAUCUGACCCUGUUUAAGGCACCUUCCUAGGCUCCUGUGUUAUUUUCCUGCAUGUCAAGCUUCUAUUAUCAGGAGGAAUGAGUGCAUUCUACAUUUUUUUUGUACCAACAAUUAGAGGUAACAUUUGAAGCAAUGACCAUGAUUGUCUACUGUUGCCAUCUUUGUACUGCUCUUGCUCAUUUACCUUUUAAGAACCUGAUACAAAGAAUGCCUCUUGUUACAUGUACACCCCCCCUCAAUCACAAGAAAACUGCAACAAGUUAAAAAAUGGCAGUUCUGCAUGCCAAACACACCAA